GGAUGUGUAGAUGCUCCUUUAUCGCCACCAAAAGAUGUUCACAAUACUAUGAAACGGAAACGAAUUUAUUGUCAACUUCGUAGUGAAGAUUCUAGUAUGCUUGAUGAACUGAAUAACACAAUGGGGGAUGAAAACGAAGAUGAUGAGUAUGAGGAACUACAGGCACAAUACAAAUGUUCGAAAAUUCAGGAUAAGACAAAUGCCUCAAAAGCCCAAGAUGGAAAAUUACACCAAAGCAAAAAAAGGUUCUAUGUUGCAAAAGGUCAACUUUAUUCCCUCUUUUGAUGCAUAGAUAAAUCCUAUCUUAUCAAGUCAUAUUAUACUUCAAUAAUCUGCAUUCAGCCAACAUUUCAUUCUUUUAACCUAAGUUAGUUUUCUUUGUCUUUGUUCAGUGGCGGGUAACCCUGUGUUUGAUGGUAACCAUUGGAUGUUUGUCUUGGGUAAAAAUGGAUUUAGAUGAAGCUUUCUCUAGUAUUUCUAUUAUAAACUAUAAUUUAAUCUUAUAUUCAUUAUUUUGUUAAGUAUUAGUAGUAAGUGAUCAACUCAUCUGGGAAUUUUGGUGUUUGCCCACUUAAUAUAAUGUGGAGAUCAUGAGGUAGACAGGGUUACUAAAUGAAUGUAGAAUGCAUAUAUGUAGUUGUUUUCCUCACUUUUUUGUAAAGGAUUAAUUCUCUAAUCCCUGCUAUGAAUACUAUCUUAAUAACCCAUAAACACAUGUUUAUUGUUGUUAUCUUAACAUAUCACAUCCAUUUUUAACCUACAUUUCGAUGAGCUAUGCUACUACUGUAUCUUUCU